GUAUCCCCGGCUCCUGGAUUUUUUUAUAUUAAAGGUUCGUUUGAUUGGACUCCCAACCUACUUUUAUUUUUUAAAAAACAAAAAUCAACUAAAGGAGUUCGCUCUUUCUAAAAGCCACGGUCAAAAGUAGCUUUGGCAUAAAAGCCACAGUCAGCACGGGGAGAGUUAAUUUCACCGGCUGUAGGGGCGUGACUUUCAACAAAAUUACCGCUGCCAUCGGUUACGAAGAUUUUCGUUCUUUUCCCCUUUCUAUUCCCAACCGACGAGCGCUAUGCUCCGGCGCCGCCCGGUCCUCUCCGUCCCCGCCCGGGUCAUCUCCUUCCUCGCCCCGCUCCUCGCUGGCGCCGGGACCUGCCGGCCCCGCCCCGUUCCAGCCUUUCUGCUCCGACGCGCCCUCCUCUCUCCUUCUCCCGCGCAGGGGCAGCGGCGCGAGCUCCCAGCAUGGGCGCCCGCACGAGCUCCCUGCGGACGACGGCAAGGAGCUGCUAUGCAGGGUGCAAGCCCCCCGCGGACGAUGGCAAGGAGCUGCUGUGCAGGGGUGCGAGCUCCCCCUGCGCCCCUCUCUCCUUCUCCCGCGCAGGGGCGGCGGCGCUAGCUCCCCACGGGCGGCCUCGAUUUGGCUCGUCCCUCCAUGGAUUUGUGAAUUUGAGUCGCAAGCUGGGCCGCCGGAACCCGUGCUCGACUCACAUGCCGGCCGCCGGAGCAGCUGUUUGCCUCGUCGCGGGGACCGCCGGGGCACCGCAGCUUCGAACGGCGCCGCCACGCGGGGCCAGAAGUGCUGCUCACCGCUCGCCUUGCACGACGCACGAUUGAGCUCAGUUGGAAUCUAGUACAAAGCAGAGCAGAUACGAUGGACGGAAAGGAGAGACAUUGCCACAAGCUUUUGCAAAAAGGCCGUCACCAAAACUCGUAAUUAAUUGUAGUAUUUUUGUGUUUUGAUAUUUUUAUGGAAAACCCCUAAAAGUUAAGAGAAUUUAUAAAAAAUAAAAUUUGGACCA